AGGAUCUAUGUCAUCUAGCCCGCUGCGGUCCUCGCAUUUUUGUGCCACCCGGAUCUGUGUCGAACACUAAUUUUACAGGGUUGCUGUUGGACAUUCUUGCAAUACGCCCUGUCCCCAUUUCCGCUUUGGAUGCGCCGUACAGUGCAGCGAGCUCAUAGUUCAUGCUUCGCCGCCACACACCGCCGAAGAUCUUUCUUAGCACACGUCGCUCGAAAACUCCGAGUGCUUGCUGGUCCUCCUCGAGCAUGGGAGGAGAAGGAAUAUUACCGACGAAGGAAGUUAGCCGGAAACCCACCAACAAAGGUGGACAAUGAAGCAUUGAUGCGUAGCAACUUGGUGUGGAAUACGACGCAAAUUUACAUAUUGUUGUUCUGCAUUGAGCAAUAGCACGGUUAAACCAGCAAAUUGGCCGUUGAGGGCAUUGACAUACGAUGUUGCUGCACAUGCUCAAAUCUUUCGCUGCAACGUGCUCCCGUAGUCCCGUAUCAACAAAUAGUACAUGAUAUUUUGAAGUGUUGUUCUUAAUAAUAAAACAUUUGGUGGUGGGGUGU